rnacentral:rRNA from 1 species
GAUGAACUCUGGCGGCGUGCCUAAUACAUGCAAGUCGAGCGAACGGACGAGAAGCUUGCUUCUCUGAUGUUAGCGGCGGACGGGUGAGUAACACGUGGAUAACCUACCUAUAAGACUGGGAUAACUUCGGGAAACCGGAGCUAAUACCGGAUAAUAUUUUGAACCGCAUGGUUCAAAAGUGAAAGACGGUCUUGCUGUCACUUAUAGAUGGAUCCGCGCUGCAUUAGCUAGUUGGUAAGGUAACGGCUUACCAAGGCAACGAUGCAUAGCCGACCUGAGAGGGUGAUCGGCCACACUGGAACUGAGACACGGUCCAGACUCCUACGGGAGGCAGCAGUAGGGAAUCUUCCGCAAUGGGCGAAAGCCUGACGGAGCAACGCCGCGUGAGUGAUGAAGGUCUUCGGAUCGUAAAACUCUGUUAUUAGGGAAGAACAUAUGUGUAAGUAACUGUGCACAUCUUGACGGUACCUAAUCAGAAAGCCACGGCUAACUACGUGCCAGCAGCCGCGGUAAUACGUAGGUGGCAAGCGUUAUCCGGAAUUAUUGGGCGUAAAGCGCGCGUAGGCGGUUUUUUAAGUCUGAUGUGAAAGCCCACGGCUCAACCGUGGAGGGUCAUUGGAAACUGGAAAACUUGAGUGCAGAAGAGGAAAGUGGAAUUCCAUGUGUAGCGGUGAAAUGCGCAGAGAUAUGGAGGAACACCAGUGGCGAAGGCGACUUUCUGGUCUGUAACUGACGCUGAUGUGCGAAAGCGUGGGGAUCAAACAGGAUUAGAUACCCUGGUAGUCCACGCCGUAAACGAUGAGUGCUAAGUGUUAGGGGGUUUCCGCCCCUUAGUGCUGCAGCUAACGCAUUAAGCACUCCGCCUGGGGAGUACGACCGCAAGGUUGAAACUCAAAGGAAUUGACGGGGACCCGCACAAGCGGUGGAGCAUGUGGUUUAAUUCGAAGCAACGCGAAGAACCUUACCAAAUCUUGACAUCCUUUGACAACUCUAGAGAUAGAGCCUUCCCCUUCGGGGGACAAAGUGACAGGUGGUGCAUGGUUGUCGUCAGCUCGUGUCGUGAGAUGUUGGGUUAAGUCCCGCAACGAGCGCAACCCUUAAGCUUAGUUGCCAUCAUUAAGUUGGGCACUCUAAGUUGACUGCCGGUGACAAACCGGAGGAAGGUGGGGAUGACGUCAAAUCAUCAUGCCCCUUAUGAUUUGGGCUACACACGUGCUACAAUGGACAAUACAAAGGGCAGCGAAACCGCGAGGUCAAGCAAAUCCCAUAAAGUUGUUCUCAGUUCGGAUUGUAGUCUGCAACUCGACUACAUGAAGCUGGAAUCGCUAGUAAUCGUAGAUCAGCAUGCUACGGUGAAUACGUUCCCGGGCCU